GCAUAUCAAUAAGCGGAGGAAAAGAAACUAACAAGGAUUCCCUUAGUAACGGCGAGUGAAGAGGGAAGAGCUCAAAUUUUAAAUCUAUCAUGUUUGUACAUGAUCGAGUUGUAAUUUGAAGAAGCGUUUUCUCGUACUUUAUGCAAUCAGUAUAAGUUCUCUUGGAACAGGACAUCAUAGAGGGUGAUAAUCCCGUCUGUUACUGGUUGUGAGGUUCGUUAUGAUACGCUUUCAAAGAGUCGAGUUGUUUGGGAUUGCAGCUCCAAAUGGGUGGUAAACAUCACCUAAGGCUAAAUAUUUGCGAGAGACCGAUAGCGAACAAGUACCGUGAGGGAAAGAUGAAAAGAACUUUGAAAAGAGAGUUAAAAAGUAUGUGAAAUUGUUGAAAGGGAAACGAUUGAAGUCAGUCGUGCAGUCAUCAAUUCAGCGGUUAACAUUUUUAUGUUUCCGUGUAAUUUGGUGUCUGUUGGUUAGCAUCAAUUUUGAUUGUCAUAAAAAGGUUAAGGGGAUGUGGCUCCUUCGGGAGUGUUAUAACCCUUAGCGUAAUGUGACGAUUAGGAUUGAGGUUUGCAACGAAUACCUUUUAGGGCAGUUUCACCUGGCCUCUCGUGGAAUUAUAGAUAGUUAAGAGCAUGCUCUUACUGUCUAUGAUUCUACGAAAAGGUUGGUGUGUAAAACUAAUUCGUUAAGGAUGUUGACGUA
rnacentral:rRNA from 1 species